AACCCCCGAUGACGACCGGCGCACGGGUGAGUAACGCGUAUCCAACCUGCCCUUCACCACGGGAUAACCCGGCGAAAGUCGGACUAAUACCGUAUGUUGUCCAUUGACGGCAUCCGAUUUGGACGAAAGGCUUGACGGUGAGGGAUGGGGAUGCGUCCGAUUAGCCAGACGGCGGGGUAACGGCCCACCGUGGCUACGAUCGGUAGGGGUUCUUGAGAGGAAGGUCCCCCACACUGGAACUGAGACACGGUCCAGACUCCUACGGGAGGCAGCAGUGAGGAAUAUUGGUCAAUGGGCGUAAGCUUGAACCAGCCAAGUAGCGUGCAGGAUGACGGCCCUAUGGGUUGUAAACUGCUUUUA
rnacentral:rRNA from 1 species